rnacentral:rRNA from 1 species
GACGAACGCUGGCGGCGUGCCUAAUACAUGCAAGUAGAACGCACAGUUUAUACCGUAGCUUGCUACACCAUAGACUGUGAGUUGCGAACGGGUGAGUAACGCGUAGGUAACCUGCCUGGUAGCGGGGGAUAACUAUUGGAAACGAUAGCUAAUACCGCAUAAUAUUAAUUAUUGCAUGAUAAUUAAUUGAAAGGUGCAAUUGCACCACUACCAGAUGGACCUGCGUUGUAUUAGCUAGUAGGUGAGGUAACGGCUCACCUAGGCGGCGAUACAUAGCCGACCUGAGAGGGAGAACGGCCACAAUGGGACUGAGACACGGCCCAGGCUCCUUCGGGAGGCAGCAGUAGGGGAUCUUCGGCAAUGGACGAAAGUCUGACCGAGCAACGCCGCGUGAGGGAAGAAGGUUUUCGGAUCGGAAAGCUCUGUUGUAAGAGAAGAACGGGUGUGAGAGUGGAAAGUUCACACUGUGACGGUAUCUUACCAGAAAGGGACGGCUAACUACGUG